UACGGAGGAUGCGAGCGUUAUCCGGAUUUAUUGGGUUUAAAGGGUGCGUAGGCGGGCUUUUAAGUCAGCGGUAAAAAUUCGGGGCUCAACCCCGUCCGGCCGUUGAAACUGGGGGCCUUGAGUGGGCGAGAAGAAGGCGGAAUGCGUGGUGUAGCGGUGAAAUGCAUAGAUAUCACGCAGAACCCCGAUUGCGAAGGCAGCCUUCCGGCGCCCAACUGACGCUGAAGCACGAAGGCGUGGGUAUCGAACAGG
rnacentral:rRNA from 1 species